AUUGAACGCUGGCGGCAGGCCUAACACAUGCAAGUCGAACGAGUGGCGGACGGGUGAGUAAUGUAUGGGAAACUGCCUGAUGGAGGGGGAUAACUACUGGAAACGGUAGCUAAUACCGCAUACCAUCAGAUGUGCCCAUAUGGGAUUAGCUUGUUGGUGGGGUAACGGCUCACCUAGGCGACGAUCCCUAGCUGGUCUGAGAGGAUGACCAGCCACACUGGGACUGAGACACGGGCCAGAGUCCUACGGGAGGCAGCAGUGGGGAAUAUUGCACAAUGGGCGCAAGCCUGAUGCAGCCAUGCCGCGUGUAUGAAGAAGGCCUUAGGGUUGUAAAGUACUUUCAGCGGGGAGGCGUUACCCGCAGAAGAAGCACCGGCUAACUCCGUGCCAGCAGCCGCGGUAAUAC
rnacentral:rRNA from 1 species